UCCGAAAACAUCGGGUUGCAGCAGUGUUUAGAUUUUAGGUUAUGUUGACAUCUGUUGUUUUCAUUGUGUCGCGAGAAAACGUAAUUGCUAGAAAUUUAAUUCUGUCUUAAUUUUCGUUGGUGAUUCUUACAUUUUUAGUAUCUAAAUUUCUUCCUUGGUAUUAUAAGCACUUCUUCAACCGUGUCAAAGGACCCAUCUAUUGUUUGCUUCCACCGAAGCCCAAAUUAACUGAAACCCUCUCUCUUGGUACUCUCUUCUCAUUCAUUUCAUAAAAUAUCAUCAAUAUUUUAACUCACCAAACCUUUUCUUCUAUGAUUCAAUAUGGACAGUAGUUUUUAAUACCAUAUUCAGUGUGCUGACAUUGUAUUUUCUUUGGAAUACGCCCCAGCAAAGUCCUUAGACCCUUCCGAGGAGCCAAGCUGCUCCACUGUUAGCACUCCGAAGCUGGAUGACAAAUUAAUAUUUAAGGAGCCUGUAGUUCCUCCUAAGAAGACACCGAAGCAUGGGAAAAAAGUUCUAGAGGAAGAUGAGUAUCUAGAGCGAAUGGGGAAAAUCAUCCAGCGAGAUUUCUUUCCAGAUUUGGAGAAAUAAAAGCUCAAAAUGCCUAUCUCGAUGCUGUACUUCACAAUGAUGCUCGUAAACUUCAGGAAGUUUACGCCAAAUAUAGUUCAGGAUCAAAGCCGCCCUGAUAGACGUAAGUACUACUGGUGUUGUUUCUUUUCUUGAAAUACUGUUAAAGUCGAUCGUUUCAUUUCCUGGAGUAUAUCUCUGAUAUCCACCGAAAUAACCUGUUGAGAGAAAAAGUUAUUGCUGCAGUGUAAAUGAUUGCUUUGUAUUUUAACCAUAUUGAUACGCAUCACCUGAUAAAAGGGAAGGUAGUGUUGAGAUAAUACUAUUUAAAAAUUUUCAAAAUAGGUAAUAACUUUUUUGUGAUGAUAAUUAUUGUCAAACUGUUGCCAAAUCAUGCCGUACCAAGGAUGGUUUAUCAAAGAGAUCAAUCGAAACAUCUCUAUACAGAGAACCAGGGAAAACUUUGUAAUGGUAAUACAUGAAUGAGGAUAACAACUUUGAAAGGAUUUGAAUUCUGAUUUUUUGUACUUCAGAUUUUAGCCCUGCAACCUUUGAGACCCCGGUUGCAAGUGCAAGGACCAGUGACGAACAGUUUGAGCUCAAGGAUCCAAGUGAAGAAACAGCUUUUAAACAAACCCGACAAAAAUAAUAAAGGUUUGUGACCUUUUCUUUAUUAUCAUCCUUAACAUGAAAAUGAUGGAUAAUUGGCACGCUGUUUCCCUUGGUCCGGAAAACCAAGUAAUUCAGGGAUCUUGCAAGUAGACUUCCUGUCGCACUUCAUUUCCUUUGUAGGAGCCACUCAACGUCAUUUCUUUAAAACUUCGAUAAAAUUCCUCUCCAUCAGAAGAAUAUUCUGUAAAAAUCUCAAGCCAGGUU
rnacentral:lncRNA from 1 species